UACAGAGGUCCCAAGCGUUGUUCGGAUUCACUGGGCGUAAAGGGUGCGUAGGUGGUGAGGCAAGUCGGAUGUGAAAUCUCCGGGCUUAACCCGGAAAUGGCAUUGGAAACUACCUUGCUAGAGGUUUUGAGGGGGGACUGGAAUUCUCGGUGUAGCAGUGAAAUGCGUAGAUAUCGAGAGGAACACCAGUGGCGAAGGCGAGUCCCUGGAAAACACCUGACACUGAGGCACGAAAGCUAGGGGAGCAAACAGG
rnacentral:rRNA from 1 species